GCAAAAACCUUUAAGUGCCAUCUGAAAUUUUUUUCUAAAGUUAGCAGUUUUCUCAGACUUCUAUUACUCAAUUCAGUAACCAUCUUUAUAGCAAAGAAUGGGGUAUUUUCAGCAAUUUUAACAUGAAAUAACUAAACAUAAACAAAAGGGGCAGACAUUUUUUAGAGGUUUUUGCAUCUUAACUCUUAAUUUAUAGUUUCAAAUAUGUUCAAUCGUUAGUGUCCAACACAUUUUAGUAAAUGAAAAAGAAAAUCUUUCUAUUUCCCUCAGUGCCAUGAUUCUCAUUAUUGUUGUUUUAUUGGAAGGCCUCUAUUGGUUUUAAAAACAUGUGACUGAAUCCACAACUAACUUCACUUUUUCUGUUAUAGCAACAGUCCAAUAAUGCUGAUUAUGGAAGAUUAUGACUGACUUCCCUUUAAUAGCUCACGUCUGAAACCACACAUUCAUCUAAAAGGAGAUAUGAAUGAACCACUACAGUCCCACAGCAAUUGGUUUCGGCUUGGGAGAGCCCACUUGUCCUGCCGGGAUGUUUGCAGCUGGAUACAUGAUCGACGAUUGAUGAAAGUGGUCAGUGCGGCUCAAAACCCCACCAAGCUGGCUGACUUGAUUGAAACGGUGGUAAAUGGGGUCGCUACAACCAGACUGUAGUCUUAGACUGAAAAUUGGGAAAAAUCUGGUUGAAACUAGCGGCUUUGCAACAAGAUUUGGCCAGACCUGGAGACCAGUGACAGACAUUAAAUUUCUGUGAAAUUGCCAUUAUUGACCCAAAUUUGAAAUACUGUUCUUCUCUUUCAGUCUCCCUGUGUUUUUCCUGCCAGACGGUCUUGGCUGGAGACAAACAACUUCUCCCAGAUUUCAAGAUAUGGAGACUGUAGCGGCCUCAUGGCAUCAAAGAAGAAGGCAGAGAGUUUUCACUGAUGCUUGUAUGGUAAUUUAUUUGACCAAAAGCCAAAAACCCGUUGUAACUGUAUAAAACGAUUCAUAUGAUUUACUUGUUUCCUGUCACUGUGUUGCGAAUUGCAUCGUAAAACUACACAGACCGAAAAAAAUAAACACAGAGUAAACAAUCACAAGGAUGUAAAGCAUAUUAUACACACAUUCACAAUACAAACUCAAAGCAUAGUUCAGUAAACAACAUCAAAGUACUAGUAUACAAAUACAAAACAACUAUACCUCGUUCUGCUUUGCCAUAAAGGAAAAACCAAAUAACAGUUAUUAUUCCUAUAACUGGAGUCUGCUGUUUAUAGCUGAGUUUUAGCACAAGGUAACAAGACAACUUAUUAAAUUGAGAUAAGAUAGCGGCGUGUACACAUUGCUAAACCCAGCGUCUAUCCAAUUUUCACACUUUUGCAGUAUUAUUCCUCCUCAUUUUGGGUCUGUUGGCAUCAGUUGUGCCUUUACAUCAUACACCCAACAAGAGAUCUUGGAUAUUUGUUUGUGCAUUCUGGACAGUUUUAUUAGCAAUCGUCGACUCAUCCCUGAAAUCACCAGAACACCCGAGGCUGAGCUCUCUGCACCUGGAAGUGCUCAAAGUCUUCGAUCUCCUGUUUGAGGUUUAACUUGUUGAUCUAAGCCAUCAUUGACCUGAAUGACUUCGACAACUCUACCUUACUGCCACUGGUUUCUGGGCAUCAUUUCCUCUUUAAUUAUUACUAUGUCAUUGACUUUGAGAUUGCAACGAGGUGCAUGCCAUUUCUGUCAUGUAGAAAUGUUUAGAAGGUACUCCUUUUUCCAACGACACCAGAACUGCUCUAUCAAGUACUGAACUCGACGCCAUCUUUUUGUGGUAUACAUGUCCUUCUUCUGAAAGUUUCCAGGAGGUGGAAGAGCAAUCUUUGAUGUCAUUAGAAUAAGAUGAUUUUGCGUUAGGGGUUCCAGAGAUGAGGGAUCAUUCAAACUAUUUACUGUCAAUGGACGACUAUUCAUAAUUGCCAUUGCCUUAUAAAACAAUGUUCUCAGGGAUGAAUCAUCGAGUCUGCCUACCGAGUCCUUAUUUGUUGCUCUCAGACUCCACUGGCAUGACUUGAUGCAAAUCUCCCUUGAUGACAAACCUUUGUGUGAUAGUGGGUCACAAUAUAUUCUGUGAUGUGGCUAUCCUUUGGCAGGAUAACUGGAUGCUUUAGCUCUUCACUCAAGGAUGCCUCUUUCAACCUUCCUCCAACACGAAGACCUCUUCUUAAUAUUGGAUUAGGGUGAAAGAGCAUGCUUGAGUUCUGAAAAAAAUUGUCUCCCUGAAUCAUUUUUAUCACAUGACAGAAUGCUUUCUGUUGGACAAGCUUGAUCAGGACCUCAGAGGCUUUAACCUGUUCUUCCACUUCCAAUGUCAUUAAGUAACUUCUGACUUGUAGCUAGUCUUUUAAUUACGGCAAUCACCUUAAUAAGUGUUCUCCAUGAAGAAAAUGAUUGAAUUGGUUGAGAAAGUUUAAACCAUCACAUCCUUUGGUUGCAAGGGCAGAAACAGCUCUGACCUUAGGAUCACCUACAAGCAAAGUAUCGGAAUGUUUAGGUGGUGGGGACCUUGUUCACCUUGGACAUCUUGUUCCCAAAAAAAUGUGCGUCCUGAUAUCCAAGAUGAUAUGCAUGUCACUGUUAUGUCAAGGCCUCUCAAGCAAUGAUGUGCUGGAUUUUCAGAUGUUCUAACAUAAUGCCAUUGACUUACAUCUGUGAUGUCUCUGAUUGCCUUAAAAAGAGUUGCAACAAACACACAAAAUCACCUAGUUCCGUUAUUGAUGUAUGCCAACACAACUUGAGAAUCAGACCAAAAGAUCUGAUUUCAAUUUCCAAUUCCAUCUUUAGCAUGGCACUAAUCUUGGCAGAGACUACAGCUGCAGACAGUUCCAGUCUUGGAAUGCUUUUGAUUUUUGUUGGUGCUACUCUAGCUUUGGACAUUACAAGACUUAAUUUUCAUCAUUUUGAGCCUAAGGUAAGAACCUGCAUCAUAUCCUAGAUCGCUUGCAUCUGAAAAAUGAUGAAGUUAUGUCCUAACAAUAGUACUAAAGGAUGGUGGAUGAUAACAUCUUGGAAUGCUGAAAUACUUCUUCAAGACUACCUGUCCAUUCCUCCCACCGCGGGAGUAGGUCUCUGGGAAGAAAGUCAUCCCAUUUGAUGUUUCUGCAACACAAUUCUUGCAGGAUAGGUUUUGCUUUCAGGAGAAAGGGUGAGACUAACCCAAGAGGUUCGUAUAAAGAGGCGACGACUAAAAGAAUCACCCUGCGUGUUGAUGGCUGCUCUUUCAACUUGACAUCAAAGCCAAAUGUAUCAUCAUUCAUAGACCAUUGGAUGGCCAGAACAUGUCCUGUUGUGUAAGGAUUAAGAUUAAGUGCUUGUUGGUAUUUGCUCAUUCUGAAGAUUCCACACAGUUUAGGAGUUAGAAGGUGUAGACCACCACACUUGCACAGGGCUUGGGCUUCAACUAUUAGCUCUUUAGCUUCUUGUAUUGACUGAACAGAAAUCAACCCAUCAUCAACAAAGGCUGGCAAAGACUGACAAAGGCCACCCUGUACUUUUAAGACUCUCUCUCUCUCUCUCUCUCCAUGUCUUCAUUAUCCCACCAUACGAGUCUUAAGUUUCUUCAGGAGGAACGACAUACUGGUGGAACAUUUUUUUUCGAUAUCUCCCUGACCCAACGUAAUUUCCAUGUACAACUUAGCCACUUAUUUUUCGUCCAAACAUAAAAAAAUAAGUGGCAUACCCUGUAAAAGGGUGAAAAGUAUUAUUGUAGGCCUUUACCAUCUCUGCCACAUGCUGGUCCCAAUUUUCCUUCUAGUCAUCCCUUAAUUUACCCAGAAUACUCAACAAUAUCCAAUUAAAGCAUUCACAUUGUCCAUUCCCUGCAGGGUGGUAUGGUGUCAUAUGGGACUUUCUGAUGUCAUAUAAUCCACACAGUUCUUAUAUGACUCUGGAUUCAAAAUUGGGACACUGAUCACUGCCACCCCAUAACAAGUGAAAUGGUCCAUUGUAACUAAAAUGUUACUCCUCCCACUGCGAGCAGGCUUCAGAGACAGGGAGCCAACAGACACAAUUUAUAAGGUAUAUUUCGAUUGUAUGGAUUCAACAGGGGCACUCACUUUAUUAGCUGGGGUCUUAUGCAGAUUACAUCAGAGAGAGAGAGUUCUUCAGCAUCUCUUCUUAAGGUCCAGCGAGCAGACGUUGACCUCGCUAAAAUGGCAUAACAGCAUGGCCAAACUUUCCAGUCUCUGAUACAUGCCCUUUUUUAUUUCCAGUUAAGAGUCCAGUUAAGUUUAUUGUGUCAUGAAACUAGAAGUCAACACGACUACAGUGUUUUGACGCCUCAAACCUGAAUCUCCAGACUCCACUACAGGCCUUGAGAGAACAAAAGAACUGAACAACAGCGAAACCCAUGUGGAAAUCCAGCUCAACAGAGGGAGUUUUUCACAUUGCUGGACAAAUCGUUUGUUUGGAUUUAAAGAGUCUUUUCCUUUCUUAAACCCAAUCAAUAGUGUUUUCAAAACCCGCCCACCCAAUUCGCUAAAUCCUGACAGUUUUAAAAAGCAAUCAAGAAAAAGAAAAGCCCUCUCCUGAUUUUUAUCACAUUUUCAGAUUUUACCACAUUCUUACCGUUAUUUACUUGUUUAUAUUAUUUUUUGGCUUCUGUUUUUGCAACUCUCUAGAACCGUUCUGCACCGGACGCAACCGGUCAACUCCGGUCAACUGUCUCAAGUCUGUCGACGUACAUAGCGAGCUACUGGGCAAACUGGUAAAAUACAAAAUGCUGUUAAAUACAAAAUGCAGCCAUAUGUAGCGAAGGCUUCAUAAUUCGCACUCUCCAGAAAUGUAUAUGGAUAUACCUAGUCACAAUGAGCAUGUGUUGAUUUUAAAAAGUAAUGUCUGUAACGCAUUUCAGAUACUAAAGAGCAUUUGAUUGGUCAGAAGAUAUGAUGAGAAACUGAAGGAUGAGGUAAUGAUGUCAAAACAAUCAUUGAUCCAUUUUAGGCGGAAGUGACAAACUGCAAGCUUUGGAUGUUUUUAUCUUCUCAUUGCGAAUUUUGCUACUGUUUUGGAACACACUAGCUUAUAAAUAUCC